UACGGAGGAGGCAAGCGUUAUCCGGAAUUAUUGGGCGUAAAGCGUCUGUAGGUGGUUUAAAAAGUCCACUGUUAAAAAUUGAAGCUUAACUUCAAAGAUGCCGUGGAAACUUUUAAACUUGAGUAUGGUAGGGGUAGAGGGAAUUUCCAGUGGAGCGGUGAAAUGCGUAGAUAUUGGAAAGACCACCAAUGGCGAAGGCACUCUACUGGGCCAUUACUGACACUGAGAGACGAAAGCUAGGGGAGCAAAUGGG
rnacentral:rRNA from 1 species